AUUGAACGCUGGCGGCAGGCCUAACACAUGCAAGUCGAGCGGCUGCACGGUGAUUGCUUCUGGAUUCAGCGGCGGACGGGUGAGUGAUGCCUAGGAAUCUCCCUGUUUAUGGGUGAUAACGUCCGAAAACGGGCGCUCAUACCCCAAUCCUGCAGACGGCGUACGGGUGAGAUCAUCGGAUCUCCCGCCCUCGCGUGAGCCUAGGUCGGAUUAGCUAGUUGGUGGGGUAAAGGCCUACCAAGGCGACGAUCCGUAACUGGUCUGAGAGGAUGAUCAGUCACACUGGAACUGAGACACGGUCCAGACUCCUACGGGAGGCGGCAGUGGGGAAUAUUGGACAAUGGGCGAAAGCCUGAUCCAGCCAUGCCGCGUGUGUGAAGAAGGUCUUCGGAUUGUAAAGCCCUUUUAGUGGGGAAGAAGAGCAGUAAGUUAAUACCUUGCUGUUUUGACGGUACCAAAAGAAUAAGCACCGGCUAACUUCGUG
rnacentral:rRNA from 1 species